rnacentral:rRNA from 1 species
UGCCUACGGGAGGCAGCAGUAGGGAAUCUUCCACAAUGGACGAAAGCCUGAUGGAGCAACGCCACGUGAGUGAAGAAGGGUUUCGGCUCGUAAAGCACUUUUGGUUGUGAAGAAAGAUAGAGGGAGUAAACUGCCUUUAUUUGACGGUAAUUACUUAGGAAGUCACGGCUAACUACGUGCCAGCAGCCGCGGUAAUACGUAGGGGGCAAGCGUUGUCCGGAAUUAUUGGGCGUAAAGCGAGGGCAGGCGGU